GGAAGUCAUCCGGCCGGAUCAGGGGCCUGUCUUGAAAACAGGUGCGAGGUCGUCCCCGUUGUGGGUUCGAGUCCCACGGCUUCCG
rnacentral:tRNA from 1 species